AGUAGCCGUUCAACAAAUUCUUCUCUCUCAAAUGUCCCUCUACAACAUAUCUCAUCCUCACAAAACUUGGUGAAUCACCUUCUUCUCCAAACCCAUCUCACGCACACCUCUAGAUCCCUGUAUCCCCCUUUCAAAAUCUAAACAAACCUUAACGAGCUGCACCCCGUGUCUCUUCUCCCUCGUAUGAAGGUCGGCCGACCACCACCUAUGGUGGCGGCGUCUGGCAGCUGCAACAACGACAAGCGGAGGUGAGACAUCGCAAGCGGCGGUGUUUUGCCUCGAAGUCCUGGUCAAACUCACACCGCUACUCACCUUCUUCCUGUAUUUAUGGCACCCACACAUCUGAAUCAAGAGCGAGACUACAGAGAGUGGCCGGAGAAAUAGGGAGUUAGGGGGCUGUGAUGUUGAAGACGAGCGGCGACGACAGUGGCGCCGCCUCAGGCAGCGGCCGGCGGUGCUGACAGAUGAGGUGGGUUCGGGUGGUCCGACACGAUGGCCGACGGCGACGGUGGUGCAGGCAGCGGCAAAGUGGCGAUGUUAUUCAGCGGGUUUCGAGUUUAGUUCGGGUUAUGUAUGUUUCGGCUCAGAUUAGGUAAGUGGCUCAGGUCUCAGUUGCUUUGGUAUUGGGUUUCUGUUCGAGAGUUCGGGACAGCAGGUGUCGGGCCAGAUUCAAGUGGAUUCGGGCAAUAUUCCAGUUCAACUUUCAGAUCUGUUGGUUCGGGUCUCGUUAUCUCAGGUCAAGGUGUUCAGGUUUUCGGGUUAACUCUGGUCAGCGGUUCAGUCUAUGUCUCUACGGGACAGUUUGGUUCGAGUUAUUUUUAGUUUCGGUCCGGGUUAGAUUUGGUUCAGUUUUGGUGUUCGGGUCAACAUGGUCAAACUGGUCAAACAGUCAAACUCGGGUCAACUUCAACGCAAGACUUGGGUGACCUCGGUGUUCCGUCCUCCUAAACUCGUACACUCGUCAACACUUGGAUAAUCGGAAGACUUAGCAAUUAAGUUUGAUAGUCGAGAUGAUGCUAAGCGAAGAAACAUGAUUUAGGUGGACUUAGAAAUGCACUUAGAUUAAUCUAUUUUGUUAUGUUAUGAUUGAAAUCAAUGUUGUUCUCUUAUUUGUAUUCUUGUACACAAAUUGUAGUAUUGAAAUGAAAUUUGAAUUAAAUUUAUAUUGUCA